rnacentral:rRNA from 1 species
GAUGAACGCUGGCGGCGUGCUUAACACAUGCAAGUCGAACGGAAAGGCCCAAGCUUGCUUGGGUACUCGAGUGGCGAACGGGUGAGUAACACGUGGGUGAUCUGCCCUGCACUUUGGGAUAAGCCUGGGAAACUGGGUCUAAUACCGGAUAGGACCACAUUUUGGAUGGUGUGGUGGAAAGUUUUUCGGUGGGGGAUGAGCUCGCGGCCUAUCAGCUUGUUGGUGGGGUAAUGGCCUACCAAGGCGUCGACGGGUAGCCGGCCUGAGAGGGUGUACGGCCACAUUGGGACUGAGAUACGGCCCAGACUCCUACGGGAGGCAGCAGUGGGGAAUAUUGCACAAUGGGCGCAAGCCUGAUGCAGCGACGCCGCGUGGGGGAUGACGGCCUUCGGGUUGUAAACUGCUUUCGCUAGGGACGAAGCGCGAGUGACGGUACCGGGAGAAGAAGCACCGGCUAACUACGUG